rnacentral:tRNA from 1 species
GCCCGGAUGGCGGAAUGGCAGACGCUGUGGACUUAAAAUCCACUGCCAGUGAUGGCGUGGGGGUUCGAUCCCCCCUCCGGGCACCA